AGCGAACGCUGGCGGCAGGCUUAACACAUGCAAGUCGAGCGGGCCCUUCGGGGUCAGCGGCCGACGGGUGAGUAACACGUGGGAACGUACCCUUUGGUUCGGAAUAACGCUGGGAAACUAGCGCUAAUACCGGAUACGCCCUUUUGGGGAAAGGCUUGCUGCCGAAGGAUCGGCCCGCGUCUGAUUAGCUAGUUGGUGGGGUAAUGGCCUACCAAGGCGACGAUCAGUAGCUGGUCUGAGAGGAUGAUCAGCCACACUGGGACUGAGACACGGCCCAGACUCCUACGGGAGGCAGCAGUGGGGAAUAUUGGACAAUGGGCGCAAGCCUGAUCCAGCCAUGCCGCGUGAGUGAUGAAGGCCUUAGGGUUGUAAAGCUCUUUUGUCCGGGACGAUAAUGACGGUACCGGAAGAAUAAGCCCCGACUAACUUCGUG
rnacentral:rRNA from 1 species